CAAGUCGUACGAGAGUUUUUAACUCAAGUGGCGGACGGGUGAGUAACACGCNAANAAUUUGCCUUUAGGAGGGGGACAACAACUGGAAACGGUUGCUAAUACCCCAUAUGCUUUCGAGUGAAAUGGAUUUUUCCGCCUAAAGAGAAGCUUGCGGCUGAUUAGCUUGUUGGUGAGGUAAUGGCUCACCAAGGCGACGAUCAGUAUCUGGUUUGAGAGGACGAUCAGACACACUGGAACUGAGACACGGUCCAGACUCCUACGGGAGGCAGCAGUGGGGAAUUUUCCGCAAUGGGCGAAAGCCUGACGGAGCAAUACCGCGUGAGGGAUGACGGCCUAUGGGUUGUAAACCUCUUUUUUCAGGGAGGAAUAAAAUGACGUGUACCUGAAGAAUAAGCAUCGGCUAACUCCGUGCCAGCAGCCGCGGUAAGACGGAGGAUGCAAGUGUUAUCCGGAAUCACUGGGCGUAAAGCGUCUGUAGGUGGUCCAAUAAGUCAACUGUUAAAUCUUGAGGCUCAACCUCAAAAUCGCAGUCGAAACUAUUAGACUAGAGUAUAGUAGGGGUAAAGGGAAUUUCCAGUGGAGCGGUGAAAUGCGUAGAGAUUGGAAAGAACACCGAUGGCGAAGGCACUUUACUGGGCUAUUACUAACACUCAGAGACGAA
rnacentral:rRNA from 1 species